UACGAAGGGGGCUAGCGUUGCUCGGAAUCACUGGGCGUAAAGCGCACGUAGGCGGCGUCUUAAGUCAGGGGUGAAAUCCUGGAGCUCAACUCCAGAACUGCCUUUGAUACUGAAGAUCUUGAGUUCGGGAGAGGUGAGUGGAACUGCGAGUGUAGAGGUGAAAUUCGUAGAUAUUCGCAAGAACACCAGUGGCGAAGGCGGCUCACUGGCCCGAUACUGACGCUGAGGCACGAAAGCGUGGGGAGCAAACAGG
rnacentral:rRNA from 1 species